AAAGUACAUUCGGUACAUUGGUUCCAUUUUAAGUACAUUUUAAGUUUGGCCAAAUUAUUUGUCAAGGAAAUUUGUAUGCCGAUUUUCUUUUGCCAAGUGGAUUUUGGUUAAACAUAUUAAAACAUAGAACUUUUUGAUAGUGUGCCAUUGGGAAUGAAACAUUUAAUAGCAUGUCAUUGUGAACGAGAUAUGUGAAACGAAGAAGUAACUAGCCUUUAUGUGCGCGCAAUUUGAAUGAAUAAUUAAUGAAAGCCGACAAAUUAGAGAAACUGCAAUGGAUAAUUGGAUUGUUCGCAAGAAACGUGAAAAUGCAGCUGCAGGCAAUGAUGAGAACAAUAACGAAGAAAGCAACGUAGUUUCCGUGGCGAAAAAGUAAAAGUAUGAGAUCAAAUUUAAGAGGGAGUGGGCAUCUAAGUACAAUUGGCUCCAAGAAGACUCUACCGCAAAGCAAGGUAAGAGGUGCAUGAUAUGCGGUGUUCCAAUUUACGGCAAUAUGUUUCACAUCGAUCGGCAUUCAAAUUCAGACCUCCAUAAAAAAAUGCUAAUAUUGCUAAAGCAACCUUAAAAAUUUCGAGUUUUACUAAGCCGAAUAGCGAGGAAAUGGAAUUAAGUCGCUCAGCAAAGGCAAUGGAGAUUCGUUUGUGUAUGUUCGUUGCUGAGCACAAUUUGCUAUUUACUGCUUUGGACCAUUUGGCAAAAUGUAUUAAAACGGUAAAAGAUUCACGCAUAAUUUCAAACCUGAGCAUAAAUAGACAUAAGGGUCAAAAUAUUAUAAAGUCAGUCACUGGUCCUGAAAACUGCAGACAAAUUUCUGAAAUAACAAAACAACCAUAUUACUCCGUGAUCAUUGAUGAAAGCACUGACAUUUCUAUGGACAAAAACUUAGCAGUUAUUAUUAGAGUUUUUACGAACAAAUGUAGAGAUAGAUUUUUGGACUUUGUUCAAGUGUCUGAUUCUUCUUCCGCCGGAAUUUUCAAUGCCCUUUUAAAAGUUUUGAAUGAUCAUGAUAUUCCGUUGAGCAAUCUAUUGGGAUUUACGGCAGAUAACUGCGGUGUCAUGAUGGGCAAACGAAAUGGCGUCCAAGCAAAAUUAAAAGAAAUUUGCCCUAAAAUCUUUGUUAUUGGCGAUGUAUGCCACAACCUUAAUCUAUCGUCCGAGGCAGCUGCAUCAGUUCUUCCACAAGAAAUAGAAAAGUUAAUUCGCUCUAUAAAUCACCACUUCUGUCAUAGCGCUAGUAGAAAAAUAGAGUUUGAAAAUUUUCAAGAAGAUUUUGGAAGUGCGGUUCAUAAGAUUUUGCGAUUUAGUUCAACACGAUGGCUUUCGCGGCAGAUUGUAGUUGAACGGAUAUUGGAGAAGUGGAGUACUUUACAAUAUUUAUGCAAUUUCGAAGCAGGAUUUGGCAAUGAAACUUAAACAACCAACAACAGCAACAAAAUGAAUGAAGCCAAGAGUCUGUUCACCACCUUCCUUAUCCUGGUCUUCUUGUUGGGUUUACUGUGGGCUUUCUAUGAAGCGGUUUUCUAAAACUCUAACUAUGUACUUAGACAUGAUUUUCAUGUUUUAAACUUUAAUAUACCCCAUAGAAACACACACACACACACACAAAUCCUGUGUUUUGGGGUACUUUUUGUUAGUUUUUUUUAUUUAUCAUCAUCAAAUGUCAUAGUUUGGAAAUAUUUAUUUAUGUACAUCAAAGAUGUCAACAUGAAAUCUGGCAACAACAACAACAACAACAACAACAUCAUCGUCUUACAUGAUAGAAUGAAUGCGCGAAAAAUCAAUUCCAAAUAACAUUAAGUCAACGAAUUCGUAAAUGCAAAAAAAAAAUUAAAGAAUUCGCUUGGAUAGAAAAUGAGAUGACGUCAACAUUUAAGCAGCCGCUGGGAUGCCAAUACGGCUGGGUUGUUGCGAUGGGAAAGCGAUUUUUCGCUGUUCACAGAGAAAAAACAAAACCAAAAUCGAUGAGUUUCACUUAAAGUCUUGCUGCCCCGUGGAAAAUAUUGUAAGCAAAUUACCAUCAGCAUCACUGUGACCUUGCGGCGUGCUUGUUGUAGACACCUAUUUAUUUGGAAAGUAAAAAUAUACUAAAAAGCGUAAAAGUGGAAAUUUUCAGCAGCUGUCAGCAAUCCAUCAGUUCAUCUUCAGUAAAAUAUUCCAGCCAACCGACGUUCAUGUCAUCGACUUCUAGAAAUUGCGUUUAUUUAAAACAACAAAAUAAUUAUGAAAGGAAGCAAAAAAAAAAAAAAA